rnacentral:rRNA from 1 species
CCUACGGGAGACAGCAGUGAGGAAUAUUGGUCAAUGGGCGGAAGCCUGAACCAGCCAAGUAGCGUGCGGGAUGAAGGCCCUACGGGUCGUAAACCGCUUUUGCACGGGGAUAACACCCUCCACGUGUGGAGGUCUGCAGGUACCGUGCGAAUAAGGGCCGGCUAAUUCCGUGCCAGCAGCCGCGGUAAUACGGAAGGCCCGAGCGUUAUCCGGAUUCAUUGGGCUUAAAGGGAGCGUAGGCGGGCGUUCAAGUCAGCUGUAAAAUCGCGCGGCUCAACCGCGCCCCGCAGUUGAAACUGGACGACUUGAGUACACUACAGGCAGGCGGAAUUCGCGGUGUAGCGGUGAAAUGCAUAGAUAUCACGAGGAACCCCGAUUGCGAAGGCAGCCUGCCGGGGUGCGACUGACGCUGAGGCUCGAAGGUGCGGGUAUCAAACAGGAUUAGAUACCCCUGUAGUC